UGGGGAAUUUUGGACAAUGGGCGAAAGCCUGAUCCAGCAAUGCCGCGUGUGUGAAGAAGGCCUUCGGGUUGUAAAGCACUUUUGUCCGGAAAGAAAUCCUUGGCUCUAAUACAGUCGGGGGAUGACGGUACCGGAAGAAUAAGCACCGGCUAACUACGUGCCAGCAGCCGCGGUAAUACGUAGGGUGCAAGCGUUAAUCGGAAUUACUGGGCGUAAAGCGUGCGCAGGCGGUUUGCUAAGACCGAUGUGAAAUCCCCGGGCUCAACCUGGGAACUGCAUUGGUGACUGGCAGGCUAGAGUAUGGCAGAGGGGGGUAGAAUUCCACGUGUAGCAGUGAAAUGCGUAGAGAUGUGGAGGAAUACCGAUGGCGAAGGCAGCCCCCUGGGCCAAUACUGACGCUCAUGCACGAAAGCGUGGGGAGCAAACAGGAUUAGAUACCCUGGUAGUCCACGCCCUAAACGAUGUCAACUAGUUGUGGGGAUUCAUUCCUUAGUAACGUAGCUAACGCGUGAAGUUGACCGCCUGGGGAGU
rnacentral:rRNA from 1 species